UUUUAUUAAUAAAUACCCUAUCAACAGUCUUAUUUUUAGGAGCAUCAUUCAUACCACACACACCAGAACUAAUAACUAUAAAUAUUGCAACUAAAACUGCACUACUAACCAUUUUAUUUUUAUGAAUACGCGCAUCCUACCCACGAUUCCGAUAUGAUCAACUUAUACAUCUAAUUUGAAAAAGCUUUCUUCCAAUUACAUUAAUCCUAGUUCUAUGACAUAUUGCUCUACCAAUUGCACUAGCAGGCUUACCCCCACAAGCAUAAUUCAAGAACCGUGCCCGAAUGCUCAGGGAUCACUUUGAUAGAGUGAAUUAUAGGGGUUAAAAUCCCCUCAGUUCUU
rnacentral:tRNA from 1 species